rnacentral:rRNA from 1 species
AUGAACGCUGGCGGCGUGCCUAAUACAUGCAAGUCGAGCGAACAGAUCAGGAGCUUGCUCCUUUGACGUUAGCGGCGGACGGGUGAGUAACACGUGGGUAACCUACCUAUAAGACUGGAAUAACUCCGGGAAACCGGGGCUAAUGCCGGAUAACAUUUAGAACCGCAUGGUUCUAAAGUGAAAGAUGGUUUUACUAUCACUUAUAGAUGGACCCGCGCCGUAUUAGCUAGUUGGUAAGGUAACGGCUUACCAAGGCAACGAUACGUAGCCGACCUGAGAGGGUGAUCGGCCACACUGGAACUGAGACACGGUCCAGACUCCUACGGGAGGCAGCAGUAGGGAAUCUUCCGCAAUGGGCGAAAGCCUGACGGAGCAACGCCGCGUGAGUGAUGAAGGUCUUCGGAUCGUAAAACUCUGUUAUUAGGGAAGAACAAAUGUGUAAGUAACUGUGCACGUCUUGACGGUACCUAAUCAGAAAGCCACGGCUAACUACGUG